rnacentral:SRP_RNA from 1 species
AGGCUGGCAGCAGGUGGAAUUUUUUGCACAAUCCGGUCAGGACGGAAACGUAGCAGCCGUAACAAAAUAUUUCAGGUUGUUGUUCAGUCUCCU